GAUGAACGCUGGCGGCGUGCCUAAUACAUGCAAGUCGAGCGAACAGAUGAGGAGCUUGCUCCUCUGACGUUAGCGGCGGACGGGUGAGUAACACGUGGAUAACCUACCUAUAAGACUGGGAUAACUUCGGGAAACCGGAGCUAAUACCGGAUAAUAUAUUGAACCGCAUGGUUCAAUAGUGAAAGACGGUUUUGCUGUCACUUAUAGAUGGAUCCGCGGCGCAUUAGCUAGUUGGUAAGGUAACGGCUUACCAAGUCGACGAUGCGUAGCCGACCUGAGAGGGUGAUCGGCAACACUGGAGCUGAGACGCGGUCCAGACUCCUACGGGAGGCAGCAGCAGGGAAUCUUCCGCAAUGGGCGAAAGCCUGACGGAGCAACGCCGCGUGAGUGAUGAAGGUCUUCGGAUCGUAAAACUCUGUUAUUAGGGAAGAACAAAGGUGUAAGUAACGAUGCACGUCUUGACGGAACCUAAGCAGAAGGCCACGGCUAACUACGU
rnacentral:rRNA from 1 species